ACACGACUACAUUAGAUACCCCCCGUAGUCCCAGCCCUAAACGAUGCGCGUUAGGUGUAUCGGUGACCACGAGUCACCGAGGUGCCGAAGGGAAACCGUGAAACGUGCCGCCUGGGAAGUACGGUCGCAAGGCUGAAACUUAAAGGAAUUGGCGGGGAGCACCACAACGGGUGGAGCCUGCGGUUUAAUUGGACUCAACGCCGGGAAGCUUACCGGAUAAGACAGCGGAAUGAUUGCCGGGCUGAAGACCCUGCAUGACAAGCUG
rnacentral:rRNA from 1 species